AUGUACCACUCGUACACUGCGGUUCGGAGCGCGCGUCCGCGCCCACCUGACGACUGCUCGCUACGUGUUGCCAGAC
rnacentral:sRNA from 1 species